UGGGGAAUUUUGCACAAUGGGGGAAACCCUGAUGCAGCGACGCCGCGUGAUUUAGAAGGCCUUCGGGUUGUAAAAAUCUUUUCUAUGGGAAGAAAAUGACAGUACCAUAGGAAUAAGGACCGGCUAAUUACGUGCCAGCAGCCGCGGUAAUACGUAAGGUCCGAGCGUUGUCCGGAAUCAUUGGGCGUAAAGGUACGUAGGCGGGUAAGCAAGUUAGAAGUGAAAUCCUAUAGCUCAACUAUAGUAAGCUUUUAAAACUGCUCAUCUUGAGGUAUGGAAGGGAAAGUGGAAUUCCUAGUGUAGCGGUGAAAUGCGCAGAUAUUAGGAGGAAUACCGGUGGCGAAGGCGACUUUCUGGCCAUAACCUGACGCUGAGGUACGAAAGCGUGGGUAGCAAACAGG
rnacentral:rRNA from 1 species